rnacentral:rRNA from 1 species
ACUCCUACGGGAGGCAGCAGUGGGGAAUAUUGGACAAUGGGCGAAAGCCUGAUCCAGCAACGCCGCGUGAGGGAUGACGGCCUUCGGGUUGUAAACCUCUUUCAGCAGGGACGAAGCGAAAGUGACGGUACCUGCAGAAGAAGGACCGGCCAACUACGUGCCAGCAGCCGCGGUAAUACGUAGGGUCCGAGCGUUGUCCGGAAUUAUUGGGCGUAAAGGGCUCGUAGGCGGUUUGUCACGUCGGAAGUGAAAACUCAGGGCUCAACCCUGAGCGUGCUUACGAUACGGGCAAACUAGAGGUAUGCAGGGGAGAACGGAAUUCCUGGUGUAGCGGUGGAAUGCGCAGAUAUCAGGAGGAACACCGGUGGCGAAGGCGGUUCUCUGGGCAUUACCUGACGCUGAGGAGCGAAAGCAUGGGGAGCGAACAGGAUUAGAUACCCUGGUAGUCCAUGCCGUAAACGUUGGGCGCUAGGUGUGGGGACCUUCCACGGUCUCCGUGCCGCAGCUAACGCAUUAAGCGCCCCGCCUGGGGAGUACGGCCGCAAGGCUAAAACUCAAAGGAAUUGACGG